rnacentral:sRNA from 1 species
AUAUUGAAAAACACCAGAUGAUCUGCUUCGAAGGGACAUAAACAGGCCAAGCGGAUGCAGGUUAAUAAAACCCGAAAAAGCCCAGACAGGAACACUUAAAAUGCCCGAGAAACAAAGCACACCAUGACAAAUUCUCACCCAACACACAAGCACACGCACUGGAAUGUUCCCAGACAC